AGCUCUCAUGACUUUACUUUUGGUUUCCCCAAAACGCCUCAUAUCAAUGGAGAAUAAUAUUCAUUGAUUAUAAACCUAUAAUCAUUUCC